AUUUGGACCAAGUUAGAAGCGGCAAAACUUUUGGAACGUAAGCAAUAUUCACACAAGUCCAGAGUUUCAAACAAUCAAACACACUUUAUUCACACGCUCUCACCUCUCUCUCUCUCACGUCUCUCCUCGAUCUAUUUAGAUACAAAUAAGGACUGAUUCGAAGAGAUUUGGGUUUGGUUCUAUUUUAGGCUUGACUUUGGGUUCUUUGGAGAUUGACUAAUUUAAAUCUUCGAUGUGUGCUUCUUCACGGCGUGUGGUCUAAAAUGGUCUCAUGAUGACCGGGAACUUGCAUCUGGAGUCAAUGAUAUUUAGUCUUAGCAGCUUAUAUGGUGGAAAGGGGCAAUUUGUGAAGAACACAAUCAGAAGAAAUUGGGUGAAGGAAUCUUCAUAUGUCCUACUCGACAAGGCUUCAAGUCCUUUCUUAAGAAAGAUGAAUUUGAUUCAGAUAUCUUGCACUUCAGUUGCGUAUGGGAAAUGAUUUAUUUUAAGUAUGGAAAAGGAUGAAUCGAAUAAACUUUGAUUUGGUAGUUAUUUUUUGUAGCAACUUGGACUUAGUAGGUUUUUUUGAGAUGUUAAUAUUUAAACAAUAUAUUUUCAAUUUCUUUCAGUAUAUAAUGUUGCCUUUGAUUAAUAAAA